GACAGAGGUCCCGAGCGUUGUUCGGAUUCAUUGGGCGUAAAGGGUGUGUAGGAGGCCAGGUAAGUCAGGUGUGAAAUCUCAGAGCUUAACUCUGAAACUGCGCUUGAUACUGCUUGGCUAGAGGAUCGGAGGGGGUAACGGAAUUAUGGUGUAGCAGUGAAAUGCGUAGAUAUCAUAAGGAACACCGGUGGCGAAGGCGGUUACCUGGAAGAUUCCUGACUCUGAAACACGAAAGCCAGGGGAGCAAACGGG
rnacentral:rRNA from 1 species